AGAGGUGCUGGCGAGUGGCGAACGGGUGCGUAACGCGUGGAUACCUGACUUAUAGUGGGGAACAACAGUUGGAAACGGCUGCUAAUACCGCAUGAGUCCUUAGGGGGAAAGGCUGAGAGGCUGCUAUAGGAGGGGUCCGCGUCGGGUUAGUUAGUUGGUGGGGUAAAGGCUCACCAAGGCGAUGAUCUGUAGCUGGUCUGAGAGGAUGGCCAGCCACACUGGGACUGAGAUACGGCCCAGACUCCUACGGGAGGCAGCAGUGGGGAAUAUUGCGCAAUGGGGGGAACCCUGACGCAGUGAUACCGUGUGGGUGAAGAAGGCCUUCGGGUUGUAAAGCCCUUUUAGUGUGGACGAUAGUGACGGUACACACAGAAAAAGCUCCGGCUAACUCCGUGCCAGCAGCCGCGGUAAUACAGAGGGGGCAAGCGUUGUUCGGAAUCACUGGGCGUAAAGAGCGCGUAGGCGGAUUGACAAG
rnacentral:rRNA from 1 species